rnacentral:lncRNA from 1 species
GAAAAGGUUAGAAAGAGCGCACUAAAUAACACGGCUUAUUGCUACGAUCGUGACAACGCAAGAACGAUUGAGAAUGGAGCUAUAGUUAAAUAGACACGACUAUCGAGGAUCGAAGUGUAACGGAGAAGACGACUAUACGCUGGUCGUAUUUUAAGAAAACGGGUGAUGGAUUAUUCAAAGAAAUGUCUGAAAGUUGAGUUGUCCAAAUUAUAAAGAAAUAUAAAGGUUAGGACUAAAUGUUUAGUCAUAUUCUAAUUGUCUGAAAUGUCUGAAAGUUGAGCGGCCACGACGAUGCAGAUCGACGCGGGCGGAUCGACCUCGGGCGGCGGCUAUGGCGGCGGCGCGACCAGAGCACGGGGUGGCAGCGGCGGUGCCCUAGGGCUCCUAGGGAGGCGUGCGGGGUGCGGUUCGGCACCCUAUUUAAGGGCGCAGGUGAUCCUUGGAGCGCGUGCGCGGGCCCACGAUCGGAAAACUCGGCGGCGGCGCUGCCCCGCGCGAUGCGGAGGGAGGUUGGGGACGGGUCUGACGUGCGGGGCCCACCUGUAAGCGGCUCGGGGGCGAUGCAGCGGGGGCUGCCGAGUGGGACCCGCAUGGCAGCGGCUAUGCGCGGGAGAUGGCGGGCUUGCGCGGCUGCUGGGCCAAGGCCCAAGGGCGGUUGCGCGAGGAGGGGGGUGGGGAAAGAUGGGCCGAGGGAGGGGUGGCCGGCCCAGGGAGGGGAAAAAAUUACUCUUUUCUUUUUAUAAAGAUUGAUUUCUAAACUAUUUUACUGAACCAAUUUCAACACCCUUUUUGAAUUCCUAAUUUGAGAUUAUUUAGGAGCUUGUUUUCUUUACUACUUUUAGAAACAAAGCAUAUUUUCCUAAGAUCAUAUUUUAAACCAUUUUCAACUCAAAACGAAGUUAGUUUUCGAAAAGGACUUUUAGUGUUUUAUUUUUCUAAAAAAAACGAAAAGGACCUAAACGUGGCUCGCUAGAAAUUUUAAAAUUCGUUUUUUGACACAGAAGCUAAACAAAGCUAGGGCACAAAGCUCACAACAUCAACUAAACACUCAUCACUUAUUUUUAUAAAAAAAUUUUAGAAUUUCACAUUUUUCUCAUUUUAUAAAAACAACAAUGAAUAAAAUCUUGGAAUAUUUUACAAAAAUUUUAAAUCCUUGUUUAAUUUAGUGUUUUCUAAUAACAAUCCAAAAUUAAAAAUUUUGGAGUGUUAUAGAUCUACCCUACUUAACAUAAAUCUCGUCCCGAGAUUUGAAGAAACUAGAGAGAAAGAUAAAGUAGAUCAUCAAAGUUGUUUCGAGACUUUCAAGACAUGAUCAAAGGAUUAAAGAUAGACUUAAAGGGUUAAGAGUAUGGUAAAGAUUGAUGACAAGAAAAAAUAAACGUAUGAGAUAGGAAUUGAUCUUUGGAUCGUGAAUUAUGAUAAGGUGCAAGCGCGAGAAGCCAAUAUUAACAGGAGAUGAUACAUAGGAGAUAAAGAUAGAUAUUAUAGUGCUCACAAUUUCCUUGAUUCCAAAUAUGCAUAAGAUAGUAGAUGAAAGGAUAAAGAAUUACCAAAAGUUGACAAAGACUUAGAUUUUUUUUUCACGCUUAAUCAUUUGUAGUCCUAUGAGACGUAGGAUCAAAGAUCGCAGGUUGGCAAAAAUGAUAAGGGUUUGUCGCAAGAAUGAUAAGGACCAAUCUGUAGUUCUUCUUAUCUUUUGUUUUGAGAUCCUCGAGAAUGAUGAUCAUAACUGCCGCUACCCCACUUUAACCAAGUGUUAGCUUAUCUUCAAAACUCUCGUUUACGAACUUCAUCUUGCCGGAUCAGAACAAUCUUUAGAGAUUUCCUUCAAAGAUUACCAGUCUAAUAACACACUGCACUACUUGAGAUUCUGAGAAACAUGGAGAGAAUCAACAUAACAAUUGGAAGUGAUAGAUUAUCUUAAUUUCCUUGGUGAUGGUGUGUGACUUAAGCUAAAAGACAAAAGAUUUAUCUAGGAGAAAAUUCUUGAACACCACCUGAGACAGCAAUCCAAGGGGCCUUGUGAAAUUGACCAUAAUGGUAUGGUUUUCAUUUGACCUUCGGGUCCUGCAUUUUGUCACGUGAUAAUCCAUCAAAUAUUCCAAAGUAAAAAAAAUACAUCUUAUCUUGGGACUUUGGUUUCCUAUGCCUUGCUUUGACAGGUCAACAGGCGUCACACUUUCAAUGAUACUUGGUGCUCCUUUGUGGUCUCCAUAGAUGGAUCCUAAACAGACUUGACCUACUCCUUGUAGUGUCGAGAGAACGUUGCAAGAGAGAACUAAACAAAAGAUGUCGACUCAUUCUAUUUGAAGUAUUUAAGAUCACUUCACACGUAAGCACUACCACUUGAUGUCGGGACAGCAUGAGGUACUUUGUCUGAGAUUCCAUCAGUUACCACAAAUAGACUAAACAUCUUGUCAAGCAACUCAUAACUCAUAUCAGGGGAUUAAGAAUGAUAAGGUCUGAUGAAAUAGAUGUCUCACUUUACAAAGAAGAUUACAAGCGGUUUGAAUGCAAAAUCUUUAUAAGUAAUGGGCAUAACUGACUUUAGAUUUCAUAGACCAUUAUUGACUAGCUCAAAUCUAUCUGGGUCCCUUAAUAUAUCUUGCUUCACAUCAGAUGUUGAGAAUAUAUCGCCUCUGUAUAAGGUCCACAUUUCUUUCGAAUUGCCUCGUUGUCGGUACAAUCAUUCCCUUAGUCCUUUAAACCUUGGGGUGAGGUCGAGUGCCUUCAUACACAAACCUGUCUCCUGAUGGGGUGGUUAGGGAUACUGAGUGUUGGGUAGAAUCAAUCUUUCCAUGACAAGCGGUUAACCAUCCUCUUCCAAGAACGACACCAAUAUCCAAUGAUUCUAGGACUAUAAGAUUCACCUCAUAAUUUACACCUUUUAUAACAAGACUAACUUUUGGGCACAUGUAGGCUGCUCUUAUCUUUCCUCUUGGCGAUUUGACCAGUAUGGGUUUCUUCAUUUCCAACUUAAGCAUCUUAUGAUCGGCAACACAUUUACUCGAGACAAAAGAAUGUGAAGAACUUGAGUCAAACAAAACCGUGGCAGGAGUUGAGUUGACUAGAAUCGAUCCAAACACCACAUUUUGUACUUCGCGAGCAGUACAUAGAUCCACAUGGUUCAAUCUACCAUUAACAUAGUCACGAACUAGGUACUUCUUUGGACAAUGCUUCUUGUGAUGUCCCUCUUCGUGACACUGGUAACAAGCAUUGCUAACAGUUUUAACGUAGAUGUUACCUUGACAUUGAGCUCCUUGAAUUGAUGUGCCAGGAGUAACUAAAGUGCUACUAACUUGUUGGUUCUGAGGGUUCACCUUCAAUGGAGUCCCUUCACUUGUUUUCUUCUUAGCUUGCUUGCCCUUUCGAAGUUGAAGUUCUAUAUAGGUGAUGGUCCAUCCAUCUAGGCAUAACUCUGGCAUAGCAAGUGUAGCUGAUGGGGUAUCUAUUUCUUCAAGAUAUGAAUGUGUCUGAUGAGAGUUUGGAGCUAAAUCUAACUGCAAUGUAGAACUCAGAUUUGGCUCAACGUUUAACAAUGGCUCUAGGGAGAUUGCCUUCCUUUUUUUGUUACCUUCAGUCUGUUGAUCCUGGGGUACUUCUACCUUUCCUUCGCUUGACUUGUUCUGAAGACAUAGUAAACCAUAAACCAUAAUAUCUGCAGCAGUCACACGGCUCUUGAAUCCCAAUUGCCUCAUUAAUACCAUCUUUCUUAGCUUUCAUGUUCUUCCAGGCUUCUACGACUUGUCGCUUCAUUGCUUCUUCCUGAGUUUCAGUCAUGUUCUUUUCUAAAUAUAACUGAGAAUCAUUUUGUGGUCCCACUCGACUUAGUACUUGAUCCUGUGUAAACCAGGGCUUCUCCUUGUUUACUAGGGACAAGGGUAGCAUAGUUGGGUCUUCCUGACAUUUGAUGUAAGUUUCUUCAAUGUCACCUUGGAGAACUAAAGCUUGUACUGUCAAAAGAUUUUGGAGUCUAGCCAUCUGAUUAGCUGCCAUUUCUAGGAUUUGGGAUUGCCAAGCUAUCAUCUCUUCACUGCUCAAUUGUGUUGCAGAAGUCAUUUGUUGAUUCUGAUGACGGGUAUUAAUUCCUUUGACGUCAUCACUGGUGUCGACCAUCUGACAUUGGGCAAUAGUAAAAUGAGCUAGAGUAGUAUGGACAAAGAGUAUGACAUGAAGUGAGAGAGAAACUAGGUGGAGAGGGUCAAGAUUGAUAAUAGAUGGAUAGGAUGAGAGAGAUCACUACCCCACUUAAACAGAGAUCGAGCUAACCCUCAAAAGAUUUCUUCCAGGCCUCCUUCAAAACACUAGGACAAGGAUGACACACAAAGCAACAAACCAAGCAAAACAAGCACACAACACACCAACGAUACUACACGUGCUUCUUCAACAGUGGUGGUCAUCCUAAAAGGUAAGUCUGAGAUGAUUAAGGGCCAUCGAAUUUGAGAAAUAAAACGAGUUUUGAAAACUUAAGUAAAACAACUAAACAAAAGCCAAGGAGAUAAAUAGAAAUAGCUUAAAGGAAGCUAUUCAAGGAGGGGAUACAAAAUGACAAUGAGGAGGAAAUAGUCAGAAUCAAAGAGUCAAGGGAUAAUAAAAUAAUUUUAUAGCAAAAUAAGCUUUAUAAAUCGAACAGUGCUAUCUAGGCAUACGUCCUACAGUCAACAUUGCUCUGAUACCAUUCCUGUCACACCCUGGCUUUUAAAAUAAGACCAGAGUCGUCAUAUGUGUGCCCAGGAAGUCCACACAUAUAACAAAAGAAUAGAAUUAUCAGAAUCAAUGUUAUAUAUAGCGGAAAAUAUAUUUAUAAUAACACUUACAAAACAUCAGAGUACGCGGAAACAGUAGCUAGAAUUUCUUAGGCUCCAUUCUUCUCAGAGACGGUUGACUGGGGGCUCCGUACGCCAAGCACUUCUCAUAAACUUCUAGAAAACUCCAUGACAUCUUUAUCCUUCUUCUGAGCAGCACUUUACUACACACUGGGGGUGUGGGGGGGGGGGAAAUAGCAAGGGUGAGUUCAUGUCGAACUCAGCAAGCACAGACGGAAAGUAAUGACAUGCAAGGCUUAAAACAAGGUAAAGCUGACUUGGUUUGACUGCGGUAGCAUUUUAGUUGAUCACUUUUAAUUAUGACUAUUAUUAGAACAACCUACUACUAAUACUAAUUAUGAGUAGCAUAAACCCAACCCUUUAUUAGUGUAAGUAGUGAUUAGCAUCUUUUAAAUGACUAUCCUAAUAAUUAUAGUAGUCCAGAGAUUAACCCCAAAUAUUAACACAGGAUAGCAAUCCUGCCAACACGGAAUAGCCAUUCCGCCAAAACACGAGGUAGCAACCUCGCCAAGUUCCAUCUCCAAGUAUCCAGUGAAUCCAAUUUGCUCAUUUAGUGAGGGUCUGGGCCGCUCGUGACCGUGAGCACGACUGAUAUAUCAGUUUUACACUCUGCAGAGGUGUGCACGUUCACUUCAAGUCGUGAUUCCCAUUUGCCCGGGGUCAUGACUCCCCAAAACACUGCCAAGGUGAGCAGGCAGGGUCUCACUACGAGACCUUUCACAGGGUCCAACUAAUAGGAUGCCACUCGCAAGUUUUUACCGGGGCGCUCGGCAGUCGAUACCCAUAGCCAUGGCGUACCGAGCAACCGACGUCUUAAUAUACAUUACCUAAGUUACUUCCUCACGCCUACCCGGAAAGUAACACCCUACUAGUGGAGGUCCUGCUAAUUAGUCAAGCCAGAGCCAUACAGUUUGGAGCUGCACUGUAAGUCCCAGAGGGACGCUCCCUGACUAAGUCCUUACGGAGAGCAGAGACGGGUACGCCCGGCAAACCGGACCACCAACAGUACCCGCUCCCCCUGUCACCACCAUCAUCACGAUGCUCGUAAGCAUCCAACAUCACCAUCACCGCAGUGACCAAAGAUUCAGCACAGUUUAAGCAUCAAGUUAAGUAGAGAGUAAUUCUUGUUUAAGCAUGUGUAUAAGAUGAGUAGAGCAGCUAAGCAAACCUAGUAUAGCCUAGACUACCCAUAUACAUAACCCCAGGUGAACAAGGAAUAAUAAGUAAAUCUAGUCAUGUCCUUAGGGUUUGCAUUCAUUGGACACAUGCAUGUAAAGUAAAUGACAUUGAUGAGUAGGUUCAAAAUGAUCAAACGGUGUCUGCACUUGCCUUUAUUCCCAGUGUAUAUCUGCUCAGAAUUCUUUGGCUUCUUUCUUCUGAUCACCAACUUCUGCUUUGACUGUCGGUCCUUAGCUCCUGGUCUUCACUGCUGACGAACCACGCUUCUUCUACUCGUAGCAAACAAGCAACACAAACAGAAAAACAAACAAUCACGACUAAGAACAAGCAUCAAUCAAAAGAAAAGCUUAGAAAGAGCGCACUAAACAACACGGCUUAUUGCUACGAUCGUGACAACGCAAGAACGAUUGAGAACGGAGCUAUAGUUAAAUAGACACGACUAUCGAGGAUCGAAGUGUAACGGAGAAGACGACUAUACGCUGGUCGUAUUUUAAGAAAACGGGUGAUGGAUUAUUCAAAGAAAUGUCUGAAAGUUGAGUUGACCAAAUUAUAAAGAAAUAUAAAGGUUAGGACUAAAUGUUUAGUCAUAUUCUAAUUAUAAACAAUUAUAUACCAUUUAAGUCACUUUAUCUUUUAUAGCCUAGAAAACAUAUAAUUGGUGACAUAACUGGUACAAAGCAUUUAUGAAAAGAGGUUAGACUAAGUAAGUCACACUUGAAAAGACAAAACACAUUGACAUUAAACAUAUUAAUAUUUGUUUAAGAAAAACUAAGGUUAUAAACUUAAAUUACUUGUAUAUAUUAGAAAAGGCCUUUAAUUAGACAUUAAUCAUUUUAUAUUUGUGGUGAAAACAUAAAGUGUCAAACACCGCAGAUGUCAUGGCUAACGCGUAGUUUACAUCGGUACGAACCUAACGCGACAAGAACGGGCUCAAACGGAGUUAAAACGCGCAUUCUAUGGCCGAAACUAGGUCAGUGGCAAAACUGUGAUUACGCAGAACUAUUUUUCAUAAUUUAAAUAAUUAUUAAAACUGAUUUUUAAAAGCAUUUCGGACUUAAUCUAUAAAAACCAACGGAUCCAGGGGCUAAACUGCUAAAAACAGGACUUAUAUCUAAUUAAGUUUGCACUGAACUGAACUGCGGAUUUCUUUUGAAAAUCAGCAAGGGGUUUUUCGUAAAAAGGCCAGAGCUGACCGCGUCCUGCCGGUUGACCGGCCACGCGGCGCUUCAGGAUAGGUGGUCCACGGCCCGCGCCUGUGGACCGAGGGGCAGGGCGCGGUCCACCGGUCCAUGGUGGACCGGGGCCAAACGGCCGGUGCGUGCGGGCUCGGCGGCGCAGGGAGCUCAUGCGGCGGCGCCAUUGCCGGCUCCGGCGAGCUCACCGCGGGGACGCUGCAGGGCAUGGCGGGUCGCAGCGAGGGCACACGCGCGUAGCGCGCGAGCACGCGAACGCGAUGCGUGCGGCGGUAGUGACCGGACGCGGCCAAGCGGCGCGGUUCACGCUACGGGAACGGGUCGGUGCCGACGGCGUUCUCCGGCGAGUGCGUCCACGCGAUAGAAACGUAGAGAGAGGGAGAGAGGAGGUCUGGCGGGUUCCUCACCUUGCUGCGAAGCUCGGGGAGCAGUCCUCGUCGCCGGAGCGGCCACGACGAUGGAGAUCGACGCGGGCGGAUCGACCUCGGGCGGCGGCUAUGGCGGCGGCGCGACCAGAGCACGGGGUGGCAGCGGCGGUGCCCUAGGGCUCCUAGGGAGGCGUGCGGGGUGCGGUUCGGCACCCUAUUUAAGGGCGCAGGUGAUCCUUGGAGCGCGUGCGCGGGCCCACGAUCGGAAAACUCGGCGGCGGCGCUGCCCCGCGCGAUGCGGAGGGAGGUUGGGGACGGGUCUGACGUGCGGGGCCCACCUGUAAGCGGCUCGGGGGCGAUGCAGCGGGGGCUGCCGAGUGGGACCCGCAUGGCAGC